CUUGUAUCAAGGGUGCACUCUGCAUGAACAUUGAAAUAUAAUUGGGUUAAUAUUCCUAAACCAGGACAUGGUGGUGGACGACAAUGUUAAGAAAUCUGGAGAUGCCAUCGGGGGCCUGGGAAGAGUUAUCUUUUCUUUUUAACGACUUUCCCACCCUGAAAUUGGUUCAACCGGAGAUAGGGUCCAACAUCUGGAAGAGAACCACACAUAUUGUGGUGUUUGGUGCCCCCCUUGGCGGCCAUUGAAAAUAUGGAGAUCAGAGUACCAUCCAUGCCCGAUUAUACUCAUAUCUGCCUCC
rnacentral:ncRNA from 1 species